AUGAACGCUGGCGGCGUGCCUAAUACAUGCAAGUCGAACGAGUUCUCGUUGAUGAUCGGUGCUUGCACCGAGAUUCAACAUGGAACGAGUGGCGGACGGGUGAGUAACACGUGGGUAACCUGCCCUUAAGUGGGGGAUAACAUUUGGAAACAGAUGCUAAUACCGCAUAGAUCCAAGAACCGCAUGGUUCUUGGCUGAAAGAUGGCGUAAGCUAUCGCUUUUGGAUGGACCCGCGGCGUAUUAGCUAGUUGGUGAGGUAAUGGCUCACCAAGGCGAUGAUACGUAGCCGAACUGAGAGGUUGAUCGGCCACAUUGGGACUGAGACACGGCCCAAACUCCUACGGGAGGCAGCAGUAGGGAAUCUUCCACAAUGGACGCAAGUCUGAUGGAGCAACGCCGCGUGAGUGAAGAAGGCUUUCGGGUCGUAAAACUCUGUUGUUGGAGAAGAAUGGUCGGCAGAGUAACUGUUGUCGGCGUGACGGUAUCCAACCAGAAAGCCACGGCUAACUACGUGCCAGCAGCCGCGGUAAUACGUAGGCGGCAAGCGUUAUCCGGAUUUAUUGGGCGUAAAGCGAGCGCAGGCGGUUUUUUAAGUCUGAUGUGAAAGCCCUCGGCUUAACCGAGGAAGCGCAUCGGAAACUGGGAAACUUGAGUGCAGAAGAGGACAGUGGAACUCCAUGUGUAGCGGUGAAAUGCGUAGAUAUAUGGAAGAACACCAGUGGCGAAGGCGGCUGUCUGGCCUGUAACUGACGCUGAGGCUCGAAAGCAUGGGCAGCGAACAGGAUUAGAUACCCUGGUAGUCCAUGCCGUAAACGAUGAAUGCUAGGUGUUGGAGGGUUUCCGCCCUUCAGUGCCGCAGCUAACGCAUUAAGCAUUCCGCCUGGGGAGUACGACCGCAAGGUUGAAACUCAAAGGAAUUGACGGGGGCCCGCACAAGCGGUGGAGCAUGUGGUUUAAUUCGAAGCAACGCGAAGAACCUUACCAGGUCUUGACAUCUUUUGAUCACCUGAGAGAUCAGGUUUCCCCUUCGGGGGCAAAAUGACAGGUGGUGCAUGGUUGUCGUCAGCUCGUGUCGUGAGAUGUUGGGUUAAGUCCCGCAACGAGCGCAACCCUUAUGACUAGUUGCCAGCAUUUAGUUGGGCACUCUAGUAAGACUGCCGGUGACAAACCGGAGGAAGGUGGGGAUGACGUCAAAUCAUCAUGCCCCUUAUGACCUGGGCUACACACGCGCUACAAUGGAUGGUACAACGAGUUGCGAGACCGCGAGGUCAAGCUAAUCUCUUAAAGCCAUUCUCAGUUCGGACUGUAGGCUGCAACUCGCCUACACGAAGUCGGAAUCGCUAGUAAUCGCGGAUCAGCACGCCGCGGUGAAUACGUUCCCGGGCCUUGUACACACCGCCCGUCACACCAUGAGAGUUUGUAACACCCGAAGCCGGUGGCGUAACCCUUUUAGGGAGCGAGCCGUCUAAGGUGGGACAAAUGAUUAGGGUGAA
rnacentral:rRNA from 1 species